AGGUGGAGCUCCUCCUCACCACUGUUAUUAUAUCAUGUAGGUGGAGCUCCUCCUCACCACUGUUAUUAUAUCAUGUAGGUGGAGCUCCUCCUCACCACUCUGUUAUUAUAACAUGUAGGUGGAGCUCCUCCUCACCACUGUUAUUAUAUCAUGUAGGUGGAGCUCCUCCUCACCACUGUUAUUAUAACAUGUAGGUGGAGCUCCUCCUCACCACUGUUAUUAUAUCAUGUAGGUGGAGCUCCUCCUCACCACUCUGUUAUUAUUAUAACAUGUAGGUGGAGCUCCUCCUCACCACUGUUAUUAUAUCAUGUAGGUGGAGCUCCUCCU